rnacentral:rRNA from 1 species
UACGGAGGGUGCGAGCGUUGUCCGGAAUCACUGGGCGUAAAGGGCGCGUAGGCGGCCUGAUAAGUAGGGGGUGAAAUCCUGAGGCUUAACCUCAGGGCUGCCUUCUAAACUGUCAGGCUCGAGCACAGUAGAGGCGGGUGGAAUUCCCGGUGUAGCGGUGGAAUGCGUAGAGAUCGGGAAGAACAUCAGUGGCGAAGGCGGCCUGCUGGGCUGUUGCUGACGCUGAGGCGCGACAGCGUGGGGAGCAAACAGG